rnacentral:misc_RNA from 1 species
CACAUUCUUUAAACGUUUCACUUCCUGAAAAUCUGGCAUUAACAUUUCUGUCAAAAUAUGAUCUAAAGGAGACAACCAUUGCGGUAAGAGAUGUCUAACAUAAUUCCAAUGGUGUCAUCAUCCCCUCCACCAAUGGAUGAGGGUGGAGGGUUUGAAUGGGAUGAUGAUGAUGAUGAUUUUGGAACAUUCACAUCAGCAAGUGACAACAGUUUUGCUCAGUCAGCAGAAACACCUAGUAACGAGGACACUUCGUCCCACGACCAUUUCAACUCGGGACCACACAAAAACGACAUGGGAGGAUUUGCAGACUUUGGGUCAUUUUCAAGUAAGGAAAUGUCAGAUUCGGUGAAUAAAACUGUACCAAAUGAUCAUAGACCAGAAUCAAUUAGCAUUUCUCAAAAAACAUCUGAACAUAAAGAAACUAAUCUUGUUAAUGCAGAAAGUAAUAAUAAUCACACUGUAAAUGGUCCAUUGGUAGAUUCAGGUGUGUACAGUUCAAACGUGUCACCUAUACAAUAUACUGAACAUUCAGGAUCACAAAACAACUUAGAAAGCACUGUUAAUGAUAGUAUUACAGCUAAAACCGAGUCACUACAUGAAUCAUCAUGUAACUUGGAUAAUUCAGAAGACACUGCAGAUGAAACAGAAAGAUCAUGUGCAGAAACUAACACUGAUACAGGGAGUUCAGUUCCAUGUAAGGAAGGUUCAUCAGCAACUCAGGAAAAUGUCAAUGUAAUUGUCAAUUCAGACUCAAAUGGAGAACAUGAAUUACAAGGCGAUUCUGUUAAGUGCAUUCCACCGAAAGUCAUUCCUGACGAUGACCAUAUGCAUAUAUCAGGUAGUGCAGUGACUGAGGAAGAAAUGAGAGAAGGUGAGAAGGAUAUUAGUGCUAGUGUUGUGAUAUCAAAUUGUGAUGAUUCAUAUAGUCAGGAUUCAGACACAAAGUCAUUUAAUGAUGUAAAUUCCCAUUCAGUCUCAAAUGUUGUUCAUCAGGAAUCUGGUCAUGGUCUUGGUCAAAAUAUAAGUCAGACAGAUCUCACUGCAGAUUCUUGUAAUGCUGGAGUAAGAAAUGAAGGAGAGUUUGAAGCUGAAAAUAGUUCUCACUUUGGAGAUACAAAUUUUGCAAACCAGGUUGAAAACAAUGUUGAAGAUACAAAAAGUUCAGUAAAUAGAACUGAAUGCAAGUGUGAAAAUGACAGUGGUGUAAUUGCUGAUGGUUCUAAUUUAGUGGACCAAGAAAGUAAUAUUCAAGAAGAUUUAAAAUGCAGUGCUGUGAAUUCUGAAGAACAAAAAGAUUCUGUUAAAGAAGAGUCAUUUAGUAGCAUUGAAAUAAGCACUCCCGUUAAAAGUGUAGAAUCAGAAACUAAAAGUGACAAGUCAGAAAAUUUAAACAUAAGUAAUCAGUUCAGCCAAGAGGAGAUCAAAUUUGUUCAUGGCCAGGACGAAAAUGACAAAAACACAGAAAACACAGCACAUUCAUUUGACCAUGAUUCCGAAAAUGCUAGUGUUGAAGAUGGGAUUAACAACAAUGAAAGUGCAGUAGAAGUCACUUCCAAUGUUGCCAGUGAUAUUGUUGCAGUUUUAGAGUCCGAAAACCAUGAUGAAAAUAGGACUUACCAAAAGGAAAAUGAUAACAUGUGUAUUUUGGAAGAUAAUUCAAAACCUGAAGAUAAUGUUAAACAAUUAGAUAAUGUUGAAGAGGACAUGGAACCCUCUGAGGCCCAUUUAAAAGGAGAUAAUAUGCCUGUCAGUGAUAAUUGUAAUGAGAAUUUGGAUGACAAUGAUGGUUUUAGUGAUUUCAGUGAAUCAGUCAACAAAAGAGUAAAAGAUGGAUCUAAUUCUGAAAGUACUGAAAACAGUAAUGAUGGCUUUGGUGAUUUCAGUACAACACCAGUUCAUACAGAAGAAGAAUUUAACUCAAGUUCUGAUAAGAAACAAGACGUAAAUAGCUCAUUUAAUGAUGGAGAUGAUGAAGAUGAUUUUGGAGACUUUAAUGCAAGUUUUGAUGUCAAGCCAGAUUCCAGUAUCUCUGCAGUGGCUGAUGACAAGGAUGACUUUGGAGAUUUUAAUGCAAGUUUUACUGAAAAGGAAGAUGACAAAGAACUUCCAUCAGGUGAUGGCUUUGGUGAUUUCAAUGCAACUUUUGAUAGUGUACCCACUGCUAGUGAACAGACCAGUGAUUGGGCAGCAUUUUCCGAGCCCCAGACAGUGAUCAAGGAUGACAUUGAUGAUGCUGAUGAUUGGGCAGGCUUUGAAGAUGAGGAAUCUAGUGCCCCGCCUCAGUUUGAAACAGUCACUUCUACAAGCAAGAUGGAGGAAAUUGAGAAAGGGAAUAUGACAAAACAUGAGAAACUAUUAUAUGCAGUGACCAGAUGUUUCCCAGCUUUAGUCUCUGACUUGGAAGUGUCUGAUCUCAACCUGGCCGAAUUGAAUGAUUUGCAGAUGGAUAGUUAUUCUCGAGUGUGGGGUGAGGUAAAGGGACAACAGACAACAGAGGCUCUAUCAUAUCAGUGGACCAAAUCUUUGUGGAAUACUCAACUGUUUACCACACUGCAUAUUGACACCAAAAAUAUUCUGAUAGGACACAAGAAGGCCCCGGUGCCAGUGUUUGCAGCCGGUCUCACUUUGCUAGAACCUACUAAAGGACAAGCACUUCUCAAACCUGAUGUCCUGGUCGACACAUCGAAAUCUGACCCAUCUCUCACGUCACAUUCUCAGAUACCAGCCACCACUGUUCCGAUGCCAAACAAAAAUGCAAGAAUCAAUACCAGCCGCCCAGUUUGAUUGGAGCAGCAGCGGACUAACAAACCCUUUAGAAGGACCAAGCCACAAAAAGUAAUGCAUUAGAGUCAGAAUUUUUAUCAACCAAUGAGUCUCCAGUUCACAAACCAGCCAUUCAACCACUAGAAAACAUAUUAGCCAAUCUGAAGACUAGCUCCACAUUCAAACCGACCAAUCAGA